UGUAGCGGGAAAGCGUAUUAUGCACACCCCGCGCCGCUGA
rnacentral:rRNA from 1 species